rnacentral:rRNA from 1 species
GACGAACGCUGGCGGCGUGCUUAACACAUGCAAGUCGAACGGAAAGGCCCUGCUUUUGUGGGGUGCUCGAGUGGCGAACGGGUGAGUAACACGUGAGUAACCUGCCCUUGACUUUGGGAUAACUUCAGGAAACUGGGGCUAAUACCGGAUAGGAGCUCCUGCUGCAUGGUGGGGGUUGGAAAGUUUCGGCGGUUGGGGAUGGACUCGCGGCUUAUCAGCUUGUUGGUGGGGUAGUGGCUUACCAAGGCUUUGACGGGUAGCCGGCCUGAGAGGGUGACCGGCCACAUUGGGACUGAGAUACGGCCCAGAGUCCUACGGGAGGCAGAAGUGGGGAAUAUUGCACAAUGGGCGGAAGCCUGAUGCAGCAACGCCGCGUGCGGGAUGACGGCCUUCGGGUUGUAAACCGCUUUCGCCUGUGACGAAGCGUGAGUGACGGUAAUGGGUAAAGAAGCACCGGCUAACUACGUG